GGGCGUAAGAGCUCGUAGGCGGUUUGUCGCGUCUGGUGUGAAAACUCAAGGCUCAACCUNGAGCUUGCAUCGGGUACGGGCAGACUAGAGUGCGGUAGGGGUGACUGGAAUUCCUGGUGUAGCGGUGGAAUGCGCAGAUAUCAGGAGGAACACCGAUGGCGAAGGCAGGUCACUGGGCCGCAACUGACGCUGAGGAGCGAAAGCAUGGGGAGCGAACAGGAUUAGAUACCCUGGUAGUCCAUGCCGUAAACGUUGGGCACUAGGUGUGGGGCUCAUUCCACGAGUUCCGUGCCGCAGCAAACGCAUUAAGUGCCCCGCCUGGGGAGUACGGCCGCAAGGCUAAAACUCAAAGGAAUUGACGGGGGCCCGCACAAGCGGCGGAGCAUGCGGAUUAAUUCGAUGCAACGCGAAGAACCUUACCAAGGCUUGACAUACACCGGAAACUUCCAGAGAUGGUUGCCCCGCAAGGUCGGUGUACAGGUGGUGCAUGGUUGUCGUCAGCUCGUGUCGUGAGAUGUUGGGUUAAGUCCCGCAACGAGCGCAACCCUCGUCUUAUGUUGCCAGCACGUUAUGGUGGGGACUCAUAAGAGACUGCCGGGGUCAACUCGGAGGAAGGUGGGGAUGACGUCAAAUCAUCAUGCCCCUUAUGUCUUGGGCUUCACGCAUGCUACAAUGGCCGGUACAAAGGGCUGCGAUACCGCGAGGUGGAGCGAAUCCCAAAAAGCCGGUCUCAGUUCGGAUUGGGGUCUGCAACUCGACCCCAUGAANUCGGAGUCGCUAGUAAUCGCAGAUCA
rnacentral:rRNA from 1 species